rnacentral:rRNA from 1 species
GACGAACGCUGGCGGCGUGCUUAACACAUGCAAGUCGUACGGUAAGGCCCUUUCGGGGGUACACGAGUGGCGAACGGGUGAGUAACACGUGAGUAACCUGCCCACAACUUUGGGAUAACGCUAGGAAACUGGUGCUAAUACUGGAUAUGUGCUCCUGCUGCAUGGUGGGGGUUGGAAAGCUCCGGCGGUUGUGGAUGGACUCGCGGCCUAUCAGCUUGUUGGUGGGGUAGUGGCCUACCAAGGCGGCGACGGGUAGCCGGCCUGAGAGAGUGACCGGCCACAUUGGGACUGAGGUACGGCCCAGACUCCUACGGGAGGCAGCAGUGGGGAAUAUUGCACAAUGGGCGCAAGCCUGAUGCAGCAACGCCGCGUGCGGGAUGACGGCCUUCGGGUUGUAAACCGCUUUCAGCAGGGACGAAGCUUUUUGUGACGGUACCUGCAGAAGAAGCACCGGCUAACUACGUG